rnacentral:rRNA from 1 species
GUGCCAGCCGCCGCGGUAACACCGGCGGCUCGAGUGGUAACCGUUAUUAUUGGGUCUAAAGGGUCUGUAGCCGGCCGGAUAAGUCUCUUGAGAAAUCUGGCAGCUUAACUGUCAGGCUUUCAGGAGAUACUGUCUGGCUCGAGGCCGGGAGAGGUGAGAGGUACUUCAGGGGUAGGGGUGAAAUCUUGUAAUCCUUGAAGGACCACCAGUGGCGAAGGCGUCUCACCAGAACGGACCUGACGGCAAGGGACGAAAGCUAGGGGCACGAACCGGAUUAGAUACCCGGGUAGUCCUAGCCGUAAACGAUACUCGCUAGGUGUCGGCCACGGUGCGACCGUUGUCGGUGCCGUAGGGAAGCCGUGAAGCGAGC